UACGUAGGGGGCGAGCGUUGUCCGGAUUUAUUGGGCGUAAAGAGCGUGUAGGCGGUUCGGUAAGUCUGUCGUGAAAUCCUGAGGCUCAACCUUGGACGUGCGAUGGAUACUGCCGGGCUAGAGGAUGGUAGAGGCGAGUGGAAUUCUCGGUGUAGCGGUGAAAUGCGCAGAUAUCGGGAGGAACACCAGUAGCGAAGGCGGCUCGCUGGGCCAUUCCUGACGCUGAGGCGCGAAAGCGUGGGGAGCAAACAGG
rnacentral:rRNA from 1 species